UGCGGGUUUUCAAGCGUGAGGUAAGGGCAUUUGGUGGAUGCCUUGGCAUGCACAGGCGAUGAAGGACGUGGCACGCUGCGAUAAGCUGUGGUGAGGUGUGAGCAACCUUUGACCCACAGAUUUCCGAAUGGGGAAACCCAGCCUCUUCAUUAAAUUCGAGCUGAUCGGCGUUGAGCAAUCAAUGGUGGUCGGUUGGAGUUUGGUGAUGAGGUUAUCUCAUACUGAAUACAUAGGUAUGAAGAGGCAAACCCGGGGAACUGAAACAUCUCAGUACCUGGAGGAAAGGACAUCAACCGAGACUCCGUUAGUAGUGGCGAGCGAACGCGGACCAGGCCAGUGGCCGAUGAUACGACAGCAGAAGUGGAUGGAAAGCCACACCAUAGCGGGUGAUAGUCCCGUAUGCGACAUCAACUCAUCGGUCCUUGAGUAAGGCGGGACACGUGAAAUCCUGUCUGAAUAUGGGGGGCCCACCCUCCAAGCCUAAGUACUCGUGCAUGACCGAUAGCGAACAAGUACCGUGAGGGAAAGGUGAAAAGCACCCCGAUGAGGGGAGUGAAAUAGUACCUGAAACCGAAUGCCUACAAGCAGUUGGAGCCUCCUUGAGGGGUGACAGCGUACCUCUUGUAUAAUGGGUCAACGACUUAAUAUGUCAUGCAAGCUUAAGCCGUUAGGUGGAGGCGCAGCGAAAGCGAGUCUGAAUAGGGCGCCAUAGUAUGACGUAUUAGACCCGAAACCCGGCGAUCUAGGCAUGACCAGGAUGAAGGUGGGGUAACACCCACUGGAGGUCCGAACCGGUUAACGUUGAAAAGUUAUCGGAUGAGUUGUGUUUAGGGGUGAAAGGCCAAUCAAGCCGGGAAAUAGCUGGUUCUCCGCGAAAACUAUUGAGGUAGUGCCUCAAGUAUUACCACGGGGGGUAGAGCACUGGAUGGGCUAGGGGGUCGCGAGAUCUACCAAACCUAACCAAACUCCGAAUACCCGUGAGUACAGCUUGGGAGACAGACGGUGGGUGCUAAGGUCCAUCGUCGAGAGGGAAACAGCCCUGACCAACAGCUAAGGUCCCCAAAUCGUGUCUAAGUGGGAAAGCAUGUGGAAGUCCCAAAACAACCAGGAGGUUGGCUUAGAAGCAGCCAUCCUUUAAAGAAAGCGUAACAGCUCACUGGUCUAGAUAAGGACUUCUGCGGCGAAGAUGUAACGGGGCUCAAGACACGUACCGAAGCUUUGGGUGUGCAUUUUAUGCACGCGGUAGCGGAGCGUUCCGUAAGCCUGUGAAGCGAUCUGGUAAUGGGUCGUGGAGGUAUCGGAAGUGCGAAUGUUGACAUGAGUAGCGAUAAACAGUGUGAGAUGCACUGUCGCCGAAAGCCCAAGGGUUCCUACGCAAGGCUAAUCCGCGUAGGGUGAGCCGGUCCCUAACACGAGCCCGAAGGGGGUAGUGGAUGGAAAUACGGUUAAUAUUCCGUAGCCUGCUGGUGUGUGACGGAUCUCGUGUGUUGUCUGGACUUAUCGGAUUGUCCGGGCUUCGAAGAGGUUCCAGGAAAUAGCCCCAGCGUAUAGACCGUACCCGAAACCGACACAGGUGGGCUGGUAGAGUAUACCAAGGCGCUUGAGAGAAGGGUGUUGAAGGAACUCGGCAAAUUGCCUCCGUACCUUCGGAAGAAGGAGGCCCCAUGUUAAGGCAACUUUUCAUGGGGGGCACAGGCCAGGGGGUAGCGACUGUUUAACAAAAACACAGGGCUCUGCUAAGUCGGCUUCAAGACGACGUAUAGGGCCUGACGCCUGCCCGGUGCCGGAAGGUUAAGUGGAGGAGUGCAAGCUCCGAAAUGAAGCCCCGGUAAACGGCGGCCGUAACUAUAACGGUCCUAAGGUAGCGAAAUUCCUUGUCGGGUAAGUUCCGACCUGCACGAAUGGCGUAACGACUUCCCCACUGUCUCCAACACCUGCUCAGCGAAAUUGAAUUCCCCGUGAAGAUGCGGGGUUCCCGCGGUUAGACGGAAAGACCCCGUGCACCUUUACUGCAGCUUCAGAGUGGUAUGAGGAAUGAACUGUGUAGAAUAGGUGGGAGGCUUUGAAGCAUGGGCGCCAGCCUGUGUGGAGCCAAUCAGUGAAAUACCACCCUGUUCGUUUCUUAUAUCUAACCUGCGACCAUGAAACUGGUCGAGGGACCCUCUGUGGCGGGUAGUUUGACUGGGGCGGUCGCCUCCUAAAGAGUAACGGAGGCGCGCGAAGGUUGGCUCAGGACGGUUGGAAACCGUCUGUUAGAGUGCAAUGGCAUAAGCCAGCCUGACUGUGAGACCGACAGGUCGAGCAGAGACGAAAGUCGGUCAUAGUGAUCCGGUGGUCCCUCGUGGACGGGCCAUCGCUCAACGGAUAAAAGGUACGCCGGGGAUAACAGGCUGAUAACCCCCAAGAGCUCAUAUCGACGGGGUUGUUUGGCACCUCGAUGUCGGCUCAUCACAUCCUGGGGCUGGAGCAGGUCCCAAGGGUAUGGCUGUUCGCCAUUUAAAGUGGUACGUGAGCUGGGUUCAGAACGUCGUGAGACAGUUUGGUCCCUAUCUGCCGUGGGCGUCGAGAUUUGAGAGGAGUUGUCCCUAGUACGAGAGGACCGGGAUGAACAUACCUCUGGUGGACCUGUCAUCGUGCCAACGGUGCAGCAGGGUAGCUAUGUAUGGACGGGAUAACCGCUGAAAGCAUCUAAGCGGGAAGCCUCCCUCGAGAUUAGAUCUCAUCGAGUCGUGGAAGACCACCACGUUGAUAGGCCGGAUGUGUAAGCGCAGUAAUGCGUUCAGCUAACCGGUCCUAAUUACUCUGGUCGCGCUUGAA
rnacentral:rRNA from 1 species